AUCCAAACCAGCAAAAAUACUCUCAGCUGAGCUCCAGGUGCCCUCUGAGGCCAGACACCUCUGCUGACCUUGUCCAGCCCUCGUGCUGGAUUGCUGGGCUGAUCUCAGCAAAGGAGCUUAAAGGCUGAAUGCAGCUCCCAGGAAAUCUUGGACAAUUCAGCUGACCAGUACAAGAGAGCGAAAUUCAUCUGUUUGUAUCUGUGGUGUGAUGAUCCGGAGUCCCCCAGAUGGAAGAUGCAUGGAGGGAGGAUCGGCUGUGUUUGAGCAGGGAGCUCAGUAAACAAAUACAUCAAUCAUGGGAAAAUCUCCUCCAGAAUGUGCACCGUCAGAGACAGCCGCCAAGGCAGUUAAAAGGAAGCAAUUUUCCACAGUGCUUGGAGAGAUGCUGCAGAGCAGAUCCAGAGGUGCAAGGAGCAUUGCUGUGGAGCAGCCUUGGCACCCAGCUCACAGCCCGGUGAGGACUUGGCUGGAGGCAGCUCAGACCCUCCAGACACGCUGAUGUGGUGACUAAAGCUCCUACUGGGAGUUCCAGCCAUGCCCUCAAUUCCCACUGCUCCUGUCCCCCACCUCCCACUGUUCCUGACCCCCCAGCCUUCUCCAGGGCUGCUCAGCAGGUGCUGCUUUGUUCUUCCCACUUUUGAAGGUGCAGAUGGAGGUGUGGGGUCAGCCCUCUGCAGUCUCUGCUGCAGACAAAUCCAGGUCAUGGCCCUCCUAGGAACCCCCCUGGACCUCCAGGAGCUCUUACAGGAUGCAGGGUGCCCAGCUGGCCCAGCCCUGAGGGCCACGGCGGUGUGGGCUGUGCCAGGGUUUCCCGAUGUUCCUGCUCUGUUCCGAUGAAACAUUAUACAGAAAGAUAUAGGCAAAGCAUUACGCUUACAGCCUUUGCCAACAAGUUAUGUUUUAAUGUAAUUUAACUGUAAUCUCAGAGUGUUUUUGUUAGCUAUAAUUAGUAAAAUAUGUCUGUUUUCUGUGUUCCUUGAAGACGUCUGAACUCCUGCCAGUUCCCUAUAGUUUUCCUGACAUGCAGUGUAACAAGCAGACCACCAAAAUGUAUUUACCAAUAACUGUUUAUUUACAUUCCAUGAAAUCUAAUAAC